rnacentral:piRNA from 1 species
GAUAUCGGGAGAUGCGGCCUUUGUUC